rnacentral:tRNA from 1 species
UCUAAUAUGGCAGAAUAGUGCAGUAGAUUUAAGCCCUACAUAUAAAGAUUAAAUCUUUUAUUAGA